rnacentral:misc_RNA from 1 species
CCAGUGUCAGUUUACCCGUUUAUCAAGUCCAGUCGACUAGCAUAGGUUACUUGGGAAAUUAAAAUAAAUCUUAACAAAUUUUAAUCAAAUAAUUAACCUAAAAAGUGCUAGAUUAAUAAUACUACAAAUAAUUACCAGAAACUCAAUCUACAUAAAAUAUUAGCGUACAUUCCGCAUAUCCAUUUUAUUUUAGCUAUUUUAUUUUAUAUUGGCACCACUAAGCUAUAUUACUUAGCGCGUCACUGUUUGCCAUGCGUAAGUACUGGAGACACCGAUAAAGAGCCCAGCAAACCUCAGACUGGGUGAUCCUUCAGAUCUGCAGUGAGUCUAGAAUCACCUCCAAUUACAGUGCAUCUUUG